UAAUACGGGGGGGGCAAGCGUUGUUCGGAAUUACUGGGCGUAAAGGGCGCGUAGGCGGAUGUUUAAGUCAGCGGUGGAAGCCCAGGGCUCAACCUUGGAACUGCCAUUGAUACUGGACAUCUUGAGUACGGGAGAGGUGAGUGGAACACCGAGUGUAGAGGUGAAAUUCGUAGAUAUCCGGUAGAACACCAGUGGCGAAGGCGACUCACUGGCCCGUUACUGACGCUGAGGCGCGAAAGCGUGGGGAGCAAACA
rnacentral:rRNA from 1 species